rnacentral:rRNA from 1 species
AUGGCCGAAAGCCUAAGGUUUUUGGAGGAAGGUUCGUCCGCUCCAAGUAAGUCGGGAGCUAAGGUCAGGCCGAAAGGCGUAGCCGAUGCACAUACGGUUGAUAUUCCGUAACCAUCUGUAAUUUAAGCAAAGGGACACUUCAAAAGGGUGUGACCCGGGCGUUGGUUGACCCGGGCGUAAGGGACCGAAAUUAGAGUAGGGAAGCACACUUAGCUGAAGGCGAGAAAAGCUUUGCGUAUAGAAACAGAUGCCCGUACCGCAAACCGACACAGGUGGACAGGAAGAGAAUUCUAAGGCCAGCGGGAGAAGGGUAGUUAAGGAACUCGGCAAAUUGACUCCGUAACUUCGGAAUAAGGAGUGCUCGAAAGAGCCGCAGAGAAUAGGCCCAGGCGACUGUUUAGCAAAAACACAGGUCUCUGCCAAAUCGAAAGAUGAAGUAUAGGGGCUGACACCUGCCCGGUGCCGGAAGGUUAAGAGGAGGAGUGAGAGCUCCGAAUUGAAGCCCCGGUAAACGGCGGCCGUAACUAUAACGGUCCUAAGGUAGCGAAAUUCCUUGUCGGGUAAGUUCCGACCCGCACGAAUGGUGUAACGAUCUGGGCACUGUCUCAACUACCCACCCGGCGAAAUUGUAGUACCGGUGAAGAUGCCGGUUACCUGCGGCAAGACGGAAAGACCCCAUGGAGCUUUACUGUAGCCUGAUAUUGGGUUUCGGAAAUCUAUGUACAGGAUAGGCGGGAGACUGGGAAACAUGAGCGUCAGCUUGUGUGGAGUCGAUGUUGGGAUACCGCCCUUAGGUUUCUGGAAUUCUAACCUGCGGCCGUGAAUCCGGUCGGGGGACAUUGUCAGGUGGGCAGUUUGACUGGGGCGGUCGCCUCCGAAAAGGUAACGGAGGCGCUCAAAGGUUAGCUCAGCACGGACGGAAACCGUGCCUCUGAGUGUAAACGCAAAAGCUAGCCUAACUGCGAGGGUGACGGCCCGAGCAGUAACGAAAGUUGGAGUUAGUGAUCCGGCGGUAUGUGAAUGGAAAUGCCGUCGCUCAACGGAUAAAAGCUACCCUGGGGAUAACAGGCUGAUCUCCCCCAAGAGU